rnacentral:tRNA from 1 species
GGAUGAGUUCAGCUGGUCAGAGCAGGGUGCUGGUAACACCAGCCUCAUGGGUUCAAAUCCCAUAUGGACCA